AUCCCAACCUGGAUUCGUGGCGAAGGUUCCCAGGCUUCUCUAGCUCUGGAUUUACCAGAGACCUCACGCUGCCCUGGACCUUCAGGAGGCCGGGUGGACCCAAGCUACAGAUAUAUCUGUUUGCUGACAUGAAGAAAAUCUGGAAAACUACACUUGUGUUUCAAUCAUCUUAACUUGACUACAAGGAUUGUAAUCCCCAGCAGGAGAAAGCAGAAUCUGAGAGGCGAACUGAGUAUCUCAAGUGGACAUACUAUGCAGACCAGUGAAGAAGUAGUAAGCCUGGAGUCGGCCAGCAUCCAGACCACACACCGGGGCCAUGAUGUGAUCCACUCCAAGCAAAAAGUUCCGAAGCUCAGAGAACAAUGGGAAGAUGACAGUGAUGCGUCCGGAUUUCUUAUUUCUGUCAACACUUACUGGAUUCUUUUCUCUUCUCACGGGAAUAAAGAGAAUGCAGCAAAA
rnacentral:lncRNA from 1 species